AUGGGAAUCUUAUGCUUUGCUGUAACCCUUACUUGAUACUUCCAAAAGCAAAAAAGAAAAAGGCUAUAUGAAGCUAAGUGAAAAAUUUUUCCUUGACAGAAAAGAUUAUUGCAUUUGAGAAACAGCAACAAACAUUUUUGUCCUCUUUCCUAUAUUCACCAGGCUUCUUUUCCAGGGAAAGCCAUUGAAUUAAUGUACUCGAUCCACCAGGCCACACUUUCUCCCUCGAAAUACCACAAACUCUCCCUCCUCACCUCAUGUGUGUUCUAUCGUUUCUCUCACCCCUGUCAGUUCUGUUUUAAUUCCUGAGUUCUAUGAUUCCAUUUCCACUUUCAUUCUUUUAUAUCUUAUAUUUAUAUAAUCCCUGCUGCUUCCUGUCAAAAUUCUCUUCUUUAUCUAAACCCAAUAAAGCUUGCUACUAGCAUUUCCUUCUCUAUUCCAUAUACAGUCACAAACAGCCUUUUACUGUAGAGAAUCAUCAUUUUUUAAUCAAGAAAAGGGAAUUUUCUUGUGCAUCUCCAUUUCCUGCUUGCCUGGUGCAAUCAUUAUUUAAGAAAUGUUAAUUAUAGGGUAAUUCACAUGAAGCAAAUUUCUUUAAAUGUCAAAUUGACUGUUUGGGUCUUCGCUAUUGGAAGUUGCAGUCAAUAACAAGAAUUAAGUGAUGCAUCUGAUUACUCUUUCCAGGAAAUAAUAAAAUGGGUCCUUUCCUUUUAACAGAGAGAACAAGAGCUGGGGCAUGAAAAAGCUAUCACCGAGGGCUUCGUGAUAAUUCUCUCCACAGAGAGAGAGAGAGAGAGAGAGAGAGAGAGACGUCUCUCUCUCUUACUGAGGAAAUGGCACGCAAUACCUUGGAUUUUUCUUCAACCUUUCAACCGCAUCACCCUAAAGCAAUCAUCAUGCCCUCCUCCUCCUCCUUGCCAUUCACACAGACUAUUCACCACCAUCAUCAUUACCCCCUCACCUCCACUACCUCCAGCUUCUUUUUUCACAAUCCAACUUCUUCACAUCCCAAAACCAAAACAAGGGAAAUCACAGAGAAGAAGAAGAAGAAGAAGAAAAGGAAUAGAGGGUUUACUCAUGAGAAAAAGCUAGCGUAUUUAAGUUGAAGUAAAAGGGUCAUCGAAGGAUCCUACACCUAAUCGGGGAAUCAAGCGUCUCGGUCCGAUCAUUUGCUAGAUCAAGCAAAUCCACUAGAAGAAUAAUUAAAAAAACUGCUAUUUGCCUACAAGGGUUUUUCUUUUCAUUUUGAUCAUUUACUAAAUAUAUAUUAAUUACUAGUUUGUUUUAAUCUGUUUCAAGACCUUCCCGUGCUGCUUGGUGAAGUUAAUCAUUUACAUGAUUUUACUUCUUUAAAGAGAAGCUGUUGUUAUGUGGGUAUGUGUGUUUUCUAUUUGAAUAUAUCAUUUCUCUCUCUUUCUAUAAUCUUGUUGUUUUGAUUAUUGCUCUUUUUUCAUAUUCGCGACAUGUAAUAAUUGGCUUCAUGUGGAUUUCUUUCUGUUCUUGUUGAGACCAUGGGAAAUCAUAUACAGUUCAGAAGUUUCCUUUCUGAAUGAUAAAGGAAUAAAACUUCAUUACAUUUCAAGCCCGUGCCAGACUAGAAAAAGGAAAAAAGAAAAAAUCAAAAGGCUUCGCGUGCUUGGUGGUAUCAAUUUGUCAAAACUGCGACUUGUUUUUGAAGUUGGAUGAUCACAUUGUACCUCUAGAAAUUAAGUACGAACUAAAGCUUUUUUUUUUAAUUAGCUGCAUUUUUGGUCAUUGCACCCCUUCAUGUCUGUUAAGUGGACCAUGAAUCAAUCAUGAAUUGUAUUUAUGAUGAGAUUCACAUGUAAAAUAUGUAUGAUGAAAUUUACAUUUACAUGAUGAACUAGA